rnacentral:rRNA from 1 species
UCGGAAUUGCUAGUAAUCGCGGAUCAGCAUGCCGCGGUGAAUACGUUCUCGGGCCUUGUACACACCGCCCGUCACACCAUGGGAGUCGGUAACACCCGAAGUCUGUAGCCUGACGCAAGAGGGCGCAGCCGAAGGUGGGAUUGAUGACUGGGGUGAAGUCGUAACAAGGUAGC